rnacentral:tRNA from 1 species
UGUGGAGUAGACAAACUGGUAAAGUCACUAGCCUUUGAAGCUAGAGUUUUGUAGGUUCAAAGGCUACCUCCACAG